rnacentral:rRNA from 1 species
GACGAACGCUGGCGGCGUGCUUAACACAUGCCAGUCGAACGGCAAGGCCCUGCUUUUGUGGGGUGCUCGAGUGGCGAACGGGUGAGUAACACGUGAGUAACCUGCCCUUGACUUUGGGAUAACUCCAGGAAACUGGGGCUAAUACCGGAUAGGAGCUCCUGCUGCAUGGUGGGGGUUGGACAGUUUCGGCGGUAGGGGAUGGACUCGGGGGUUAUCAGCUUGUUGGUGGGGUAGUGGCAUACCAAGGCUUUGAAGGGUAGCCGGCCUGAGAGGGUGACCGGCCACAAUGGUACUGAGAGAGGGCGCAGACUCCAACGGGGGGCAGCAGGGGGGAGUAUGGCACAGUGGGCGGGAGCGUGAUGCAGCGACGCCGCGUGCGGGAUGACGGCCUUGGGGUUGUAAACCGCUUUCGCCUGUGACGAAGCGUGAGUGACGGUAAUGGGUAAAGAAGCACCGGCUAACUACGUG